rnacentral:rRNA from 1 species
UACGGAGGGGGCUAGCGUUGUUCGGAAUUACUGGGCGUAAAGGGCGCGUAGGCGGCACUGUUAGUCAGGCGUGAAAUUCCUGGGCUCAACCUGGGGACUGCGCUUGAUACGGCAGAGCUAGAGGAUGGAAGAGGCUCGCGGAAUUCCCAGUGUAGAGGUGAAAUUCGUAGAUAUUGGGAAGAACACCGGUGGCGAAGGCGGCGAGCUGGUCCAUUACUGACGCUGAGGCGCGAAAGCUAGGGGAGCAAACGGG